rnacentral:rRNA from 1 species
UACGGGGGGGGCAAGCGUUGUUCGGAAUUACUGGGCGUAAAGCGUGCGCAGGCGGUUUGUUAAGUCAGAUGUGAAAGCCCCGGGCUUAACCUGGGAACGGCAUUUGAAACUGGCAGGCUGGAGUACGGCAGAGGGGGGUGGAAUUCCACGUGUAGCAGUGAAAUGCGUAGAGAUGUGGAGGAACACCGAUGGCGAAGGCAGCCCCCUGGGCCGAUACUGACGCUCAGGCACGAAAGCGUGGGGAGCAAACAGG